rnacentral:snoRNA from 1 species
CACCUGUCAUCAUUUUUCUGUCAACUGGUGAAAAUUAUGGAUGUGCAUGAGAAGAAGAGAGAUCACACAACUAGCACUACUUUACCUUCUGUUUAUAUAGAGGUAUAUUUGGCUAUUCUGUGAGACACUC